UCCGGUUUGUCACCGGCAGUCUCAUUAGAGUGCCCAACUAAAUGUAGCAACUAAUGACAAGGGUUGCGCUCGUUGCGGGACUUAACCCAACACCUCACGGCACGAGCUGACGACAGCCAUGCAGCACCUGUGUGUCGGCUCCCUUUCGGGCACGCCUCCCUCUCGAGAGGCUUCCGACCAUGUCAAGGGUAGGUAAGGUUUUUCGCGUUGCAUCGAAUUAAUCCACAUCAUCCACCGCUUGUGCGGGUCCCCGCCAAUUCCUUUGAGUUUCAAUCUUGCGAUCGUACUUCCCAGGCGGCGAACUUAACGCGUUAGCUUCGAUACUGAGAGCCUAGUUGCUCCCAACAUCCAGUUCGCAUCGUUUACGGCAUGGACUAC
rnacentral:misc_RNA from 1 species